rnacentral:rRNA from 1 species
CGUAGGGUCCGAGCGUUGUCCGGAAUUAUUGGGCGUAAAGGGCUUGUAGGCGGUUUGUCACGUCGGAAGUGAAAACUCAGGGCUUAACCCUGAGCCUGCUUCCGAUACGGGCAAACUAGAGGGAUGCAGGGGAGAAUGGAAUUCCUGGUGGAGCGGUGGAAUGCGCAGAUAUCAGGAGGAACACCGGUGGCGAAGGCGGUUCUCUGGGCAUUUCCUGACGCUGAGAAGCGAAAGCGUGGGGAGCAAACAGGCUUAGAUACCCUGGUAGUCCACGCCGUAAACGGUGGGCACUAGGUGUGGGGAACAUUCCACGUUCUCCGUGCCGAAGCUAACGCAUUAAGUGCCCCGCCUGGGGAGUACGGCCGCAAGGCUA